rnacentral:tRNA from 1 species
AUAGCUCAGUGGUAGAGCAUAUGCUUAGCUGCAUGAGGUCCUGGGUUCAAGCCCCAGU